CUUGACAUGCGCUCUUAAAAAAAUAAAAAAAGAAAAAAAAACUUAGUGGGCUAUUUUUCUUAGGCACGACACGGCACGGCCCACUGUACGGCACGAGUGGGGACGAGCACGAGCACGUGUGGGCACGGCACGACACGGCACAAAAUGCAUAGUCGGCACGGCACGACACGAGCACGCGUGGGCUUCCUUUGAUGGGCCUGGCCCGGCCCGGCACGGCCCGUUGGCCAUCUCUAAGUGGCAUACCCGAACUGCGGAUCAAGCGCCUGGACUGUACGUUACACUACUAUCCUGUAAUAGCUUAAAUUUUAAUUAUAACUUGCAAAUUUCUAUGCAUCAAAGCAAACAUGUGGCAAAAUUUAGGAUUUAUUGAUUUAGGAUUAUUUAUUUAAAUUAUUAACUGCGAUCAUGAGAAGGUUAUUCUUUAAAAAAAAAAAGACUGGACUCAUUAAUUCAAAAAUUAAUCCAAAAAAAUUACCUAUUAAAUGUAAUAUUUUAACAUUGAACAAACAAGAUUUGCUUUACAUUAAUUUAGAAUAAUGUCGAUGCUCAAAUUAUAUGUGAUUGUUUGCUUUAAUUAAUGCCUAAAUGAUUUUUUGUGUUUUUAAAUUAUUUAAAAAUUGGUUCCACGUAAAUAUUCUUAACUAACUUUUUCUUUUAAUAAUUUAAUUUUUAGCUAAAUUUGAAAGAGAUCCUUGUAUCCAUCCACAUUGAUCUAUAUAUAGCAUUGUAUCCUCUUUAUCUCCUUUAAAAUUAUGUGAGAUAAGAGGAUGAGGAUCUCCAGAUAAUAAGAGAGAUCCCAAAGAUACUUGAUCUUUAGAUAACUGAUACUUUUAUUUGCUAAACUUAAUUAAAUUAAAGUAUAAAAUUGUAUUACCAACACAAAAACAUCAAAGUAAACUAAAGUUAUUAAAAUCAUUUCCUCAAACUAAGUCAAUGUCAUCAAAAUUACAAGAUAAAAUUAAGGAAAAGUAGGGUCUCAAAGUUGAAUACAUCCACAAAUGAUGAGAACCAUCAAGGGAAUACCAUUAAAGCUUCAAGUGAUCCUUUGCACAUUUAUGGAGGCCCAAUUACAAGAGCUAGAGCUAAAAAAUGCAAGCUGCAUUAAAUGGAUUAAUUGAAAACAUAUGAAUUGAAAAUGCAAUUCAAGAUGCAAGACAUCAUGAAUUGGGCUUGGAGAGAAGACAAGGCAUUGUGGACAUUAUUCAAGCUAUUGGGCAGCCAAAUACACAAUUUGGAUCAAAUGCAGAAAGGGCAAAUUCGGAAUAAAUCUGGUAUUGAUUGAGCCAGAAUUAAUGUGCAAGCUAUAUACCAUUGGAAAAAUAAUUAAGUUAGCUUUCCAAUGCAUUUUACAGAUCUAGAUUUGGAGUUCUCUAGAAGGAGUUAUGAUCAAUUUAUUACAGCUUGUUCAGGCUUGGGAAUUCAAACGACUCCUUUGAUUAUUCAACUUCAUUUAUUUGUUUUGUGUCAAGUUUAUCAAUGUGUUAGGUAAGUCUACCAUUGAUAAUGGUGGGCUAGCAUUAUGUUUGUCAAUGUUAACAUUAAUAAUGGUGGGUUAGUGAAGGCUUUUAAAGCACCCUUUGACAAACCUAUACUUGGAGGGUUGUUCCAAUGUUUUCAUUUGCAUUUUUAGGAUCUUGGGUUUCUUUUAGCCUAUUUAAACUCAGCAACCUUGCUAUGUAUGACAAUUAAGAGAUUAAUAUUAUUUGAAUUUGAAAGAUUAUUUUUUCUUUGGUUCUUUUGAGAACUAGUGAACUUAUCAAGAAUUUGCAUUCUUGUGGCGUUCCAAAUUUAGACUUAUCACUCACCUUCUCAUCUAUUUCUUGAGUGUGGCGUCAAUAUCCUUCUCUAUACCUUUGGUUCAUGCUUUUCUUAAGCAUUGAGUCAAGGUUUUGUUUAUCAUAAAUCUGUUUAGAACUUUCUUGGGAAGUUGAAACUACAAUUUAAGUGUGAAUUUCAAAGUUUCAUCGUGGAAAUUUGUUUCUCAUCUAUUUCUUGAGUGUGGCGUCAAUAUCCUUCUCUAUACCUUUGGUUCAUGUUUUUCUUAAGCAUUGGGUCAAGGUUUUGUUUGUCAUAAAUCUGUUUAGAACUUUCUUGGGAAGUUGAAACUACAAUUUAAGUGUGAAUUUCAAAGUUUCAUUGUGGGAUUUUGUAUCAAUAAAAGUCAUAAAAGUCAUAUGAUAGAAAUCAUCAACAAAAUUAUCUUCAUCACUCUUCAAUAAUUUAUGAAAUUAAGCAAGAAUAGAGCUUUAAAGUUGAAUACAUUCAUAAAAGUCACAUGGUAUAAAUCAUCAAAAAAAUUAUUUAUGUCAAUCUUUCAAAUGUUUAUAUUAGUUAUUAUUUACAUUAUUUUUAUAAAUAUUAUGAUAUC
rnacentral:lncRNA from 1 species